rnacentral:rRNA from 1 species
UACGGAGGGGCAAGCGUUGUUCGGAAUUACUGGGCGUAAAGGGCGCGCAGGCGGCUGCUCAAGUCAGGCGUGAAAGGCCUGGGCUCAACCCGGGAAUUGCGCUUGAGACUGGGCUGGCUUGAGUGCGGGAGAGGAUGGUGGAAUUCCAGUGUAGAGGUGAAAUUCGUAGAUAUUGGGAAGAACACCGGUGGCGAAGGCGGCCAUCUGGACCGCAACUGACGCUGAGGCGCGAAAGCGUGGGGAGCAAACAGG